UCGAGAAUCUUCCGCAAUGGGCGAAAGCCUGACGGAGCGACACCGCGUGCAGGACGAAGGCCCUCGGGUUGUAAACUGCUGUCACGCUCUAGGAAUGCCAUGUCGUUAAUAGCGGCAUGGUUGACCAAGGCGAAAGGAAGUGGCGGCUAACUCUGUGCCAGCAGCCGCGGUAAGACAGAGGCCACGAACGUUGUUCGGAAUCACUGGGCAUAAAGCGCACGUAGGCGGCCAAGUCCGUCGGAUGUGAAAGCCCCCGGCUCAACCGGGGAAUUGCAUCCGAUACAGCUUGGCUCGAGGACGGUUGGGGUGAGUGGAACUCCUGGUGGAGCGGUGAAAUGCGUAGAUAUCAGGAGGAACACCGGUGGCGAAAGCGGCUCACUGGACCGUUACUGACGCUGAGGUGCGAAAGCUAGGGGAUAAACGGGAUUAGAUACCCAAGUAGUCCCUGAGCGGGCUGGCAAGGCGCAU
rnacentral:rRNA from 1 species